rnacentral:rRNA from 1 species
CAGCCGCCGCGGUAAUACGUAGGGUGCGAGCGUUAAUCGGAAUUACUGGGCGUAAAGCGUGCGCAGGCGGUUCGUUAAGACAGAUGUGAAAUCCCCGGGCUUAACCUGGGAACUGCAUUUGUGACUGGCGAGCUAGAGUAUGGCAGAGGGGGGUAGAAUUCCACGUGUAGCAGUGAAAUGCGUAGAGAUGUGGAGGAAUACCGAUGGCGAAGGCAGCCCCCUGGUCCAUUACUGACGCUGAGGUGCGAAAGCGUGGGGAGCAAACAGGAUUAGAGACCCCAGUAGUCCCUGUCUCUUAUAC